rnacentral:misc_RNA from 1 species
AAGCUUGGAUGCCGUCGGGACGGCACAAAAAAAACAACUGUGGUUCGGAUGUGCCUUUUUCUUUGGGUGGCCUCCGUUCCUUUCGAUGAUGCGCCCAGCGGGAGCCCUCUGCUGCCUCGAUUGAGAGGAGAUUUCAAGUGCACCGGGACAAUCCGCGGGUUACAAAAGGCGCAUCGCCCCCUUUUUCGUCUCUUCUCGAGGAUCGCCCUUUUGUUUUGAUUAACGAAGAGGCGUUUGAGAAGAGGCAUUUUUUUUGCGCUUUCGAGAUGGCAUGGGAUGUGCCGGGCGCGAAAAAAAAAAAAAAAACAACAACUUGUGUUUUGUCGUACUGAUUGAAAAAUCCAAAAACACGA